rnacentral:rRNA from 1 species
GGAGGGUGCGAGCGUUGUCCGGAAUCACUGGGCGUAAAGGGCGCGUAGGCGGCGCAGUAAGUAGGGGGGGUGAAAUCUCAUGGGCUCAACCGUGAAACGGCCUCCUAAACUGCUGUGCUUGAGCACGGUAGAGGCAGAUGGAAUUCCCGGUGUAGCGGUGGAAUGCGUAGAUAUCGGGAAGAACACCAGUGGCGAAGGCGGUCUGCUGGGCCGUUGCUGACGCUGAGGCGCGACAGCGUGGGGAGCAAACAGGAUUAGAUACCCUGGUAGUCCACGCCGUAAACGAUGGGUACUAGGCGUCGGGGGGAGCGACCCCUUCGGUGCCGUCGCUAACGCAGUAAGUACCCCGCCUGGGGAGUACGGCCGCAAAGGCUGA